rnacentral:misc_RNA from 1 species
AUAGGUAUCGUCAAGUCUUGGUCUUUUCCAUUGACUUGACAUCCUGAUCAAUCCUCUGUGCUCUAUUCGAAGAAUGCUUUGGUAGGUCCUUCGACCUACCAAAAGUUUUUUAAUCCACUUAUUUUUUCUGUCUGAAAUAAUUAUAAUUAAUGAAAAUA